rnacentral:rRNA from 1 species
CAGGCCUAACACAUGCAAGUCGAACGGAGCCGCAAGGCUUAGUGGCAAACGGGUGCGUAACGCGUAAGCAACCUGCCCUCAACUGGGGGAUAGCCCGGCGAAAGCUGGGGUAAACCCGCACGGUCCCAAGAGAUCACCUGGUUUUUUGGGUAAACAUUGAUGGGUUGAGGAGGGGCUUGCGUCUGAUUAGCUAGUUGGCAGGGUAACGGCCUACCAAGGCGAUGAUCAGUAGGGGUUCUGAGAGGAUUGGCCCCCACAUGGGUACUGAGAUACGGACCCAACCCCUACGGGAGGCAGCAGUAGGGAAUAUUGGGCAAUGGAGGCAACUCUGACCCAGCCAUGCCGCGUGCAGGAUGAAGGCGCUCAGCGUUGUAAACUGCUUUUACUCAUGAAGAACUGUGGGGAUGCGUCCUUACCUGACGGUAAUGAGGGAAUAAGCACCGGCUAACUCCGUGCCAGCAGCCGCGGUAAU